rnacentral:rRNA from 2 species
AACGAACGCUAUCGGUAUGCUUAACACAUGCAAGUCGGACGGACUAAUUGGGGCUUGCUCCAAUUAGUUAGUGGCAGACGGGUGAGUAACACGUGGGAAUCUGCCCAUCAGUACGGAAUAACUUUUAGAAAUAAAAGCUAAUACCGUAUAUUCUCUACGGAGGAAAGAUUUAUCGCUGAUGGAUGAGCCCGCGUCAGAUUAGGUAGUUGGUGAGGUAACGGCUCACUAAGCCGACGAUCUGUAGCUGGUCUGAGAGGAUGAUCAGCCACACUGGGACUGAGACACGGCCCAGACUCCUACGGGAGGCAGCAGUGGGGAAUAUUGGACAAUGGGCGAAAGCCUGAUCCAGCAAUACCGAGUGAGUGAUGAAGGCCUUAGGGUUGUAAAGCUCUUUUA